UGUGAAUCCAGCUGGUUCAAGGCUGCAGGCCCACAUCUCUUGGCCCGUUUUCCUAUUGCGGGGAGUGGGGAAAGUAGCCCUAAACCAUCAGAAUGGAUUAUACAU
ensembl:miRNA